ensembl:lncRNA
AGCCCAUGUCUGAUUCUGCCAUCUUUGACCUCAGACCAUUUUCAGCAUAAGCUGGUGGAGCAAUUAAUUCUGACAGGACCAUUUCUAUGACCUACUGACCCUGUCAACUGUUCCAGGUAACCCCAGAGAUCAGAGCGGCUGCCCUGCACUGGUUUGGUCUAUGUUGCCACCUUGAAGAAGGUGUGGGAGUUUUCUGCCAGCAUCGUAUCUUUCUCCUGGAGACCAGGAAAGACUUGUGAUGACCCAGGAUCUGGCAAAGUCCCUGCCACUCAGAGGCGAUUCAUGUUUUCACCAGUGAUGCCGCCAGCUGACAGCCACCUUCAACUGCUAGACAGACGAGCCUUCAGAUGAUUCCAGCCUCCAGCCUUCAAGUCCUCUAGCUGAGGCCUGCAACACUGAAGGGCAGAGACAAGGUGUGCUUGGUGUACUAUAUCCAAAUUCUUGACCCACGGAUUCUUUGAGCAUAAUAAAUGUUUUUACCGCAUCA